AGAGUUGAUCAUGGCUCAGGAUGAACGCUAGCGGCAGGCUUAACACAUGCAAGUCGAGGGGCAGCACGGGAGUAGCAAUACAACUGGUGGCGACCGGCGCACGGGUGAGUAACGCGUAUGCAACCUACCUAUCAGAGGGAAUAACCCGGCGAAAGUCGGACUAAUACCGCAUAAAACAGGGGCACCGCAUGGUGAUAUUUGUUAAAGAAAUUCGCUGAUAGAUGGGCAUGCGUUCCAUUAGGUAGUUGGUGAGGUAACGGCUCACCAAGCCGACGAUGGAUAGGGAACUGAGAGGUUGGUCCCCCACACUGGUACUGAGACACGGACCAGACUCCUACGGGAGGCAGCAGUGAGGAAUAUUGGUCAAUGGGCGAGAGCCUGAACCAGCCAAGUCCGCGUGAAGGAAGAAGGAUCUAUGGUUCGUAAACUUCUUUGCAGGGGAAUAAAGUGCGGGACGUGUCCUGUUUUGUAUGUACCCUGAGAAUAAGGAUCGGCUAACUCCGUGCCAGCCGCCGC
rnacentral:rRNA from 1 species